rnacentral:rRNA from 1 species
UACGUAGGAGACGAGCGUUGUCCGGAAUCACUGGGCGUAAAGCGCGUGUAGGCGGAUGAGCAAGUCUGCUGUGAAAGCUCCUGGCUUAACCGGGAGUGGUCGGUGGAAACUGCUCGUCUGGAGGACGGUAGAGGUAGGUAGAAUUCCCGGUGUAGUGGUGAAAUGCGCAGAUAUCAGGAGGAACACCGGUGGCGAAGGCGGGUCUCUGGGCCGAUACUGACGCUGAGGAGCGAAAGCGUGGGGAGCGAACAGG